rnacentral:rRNA from 1 species
UCUCCGUUGGUGAACCAACGCGGAGGUCAUUA